GACACGAGUUCGUGCCCCGGUCCGGGACGAUCCCACAUGCCAUGCCGCGGAGCGGCUGGGCCCGUGAGCCAUGGCCGCCGAGCCUGCGCGUCCGGAGCUUGUGCUCCGCAACGGGAGAGGCCACAACAGUGAGAGGCGCACGUACAAAAAUAAAUAAAUAAAUAAAAAUAAUAAAAAUAAAACAUAAACAAGAAAAUUGCCACUCUUGACACACUAUCAGCUAAUGAGCUGAGAAUUUCACACACAUUCCCUCACUUAAUUUUCACAGUAACCUUGUAAGAUGAUUACUCCCUUUUUUUAAAAAUUAAUUAAUUAAUUUAUUUAUUUUUGGCCGCAUUGGGUCUUUGUUGCUGCGCGCGGGCUUUCUCUAGUUGCGGCGAGCGGGGAUUACUCUUCGUUGCGGUGUGUGGGGUUCUCAUUGCGGUGGCUUCUCUUAUUGCAGAGCACAGGCUCUAGGCACGCAGCCUUCAGUAGUUGUGGCACAUGGGCUUCAGUAGUUGUGGCUCGUGGGCUCUAGAGCACAGGCUCAGUAGUUGUGGUGCAUGGGCUUAUUUGCUCUGCGGCAUGUGGGAUCUUCCCAGAUUGGGGCUCGAACCCGUGUUCCCUGCAUUGGCAGGCGGAUUCUUAACCACUGCGCCACCAGGGAAGCCCUACUCCCAUUUUAUAGAUGAGGAAACUGAGGCCCAGAGAUGUUAAGUAAUUUGCCUAAGGUCAUACAGCUAGUAGGUAGCAGGGCUAGGAUUCACACUCCAGGCCUUUGUUCUCAGCUACUCAUUAUAAUCCCUUCUGCAGUAUAUGCACAGACAUUUCCCAACCUAAGUCACCCAAUCUCUCAUUACUAGAUAAAAACACAACUAUAAUCCACCACUUUGAUGCACCUCUUUAACUCCUGUCAGGGCCACCAUUUGACUUGGCAAAUCUGGAGAGCAAGUCAAGGAUGGCAGUUCCUGAGAGGCCAUUUCUCUGAAAAGGUCCUUGUUUCUACACUCACUGGUGACAGGAGUGAAGUCUUUCCUGCUCUCUGAAUCCUUUUGACCUGGGGCCUACAUGUGCCCCACGGGUUUCCAGAGCGGUGCACCCAACAAAUCUCUUCCUGUUAUCUCAUCUGCACCCGGAGGCCGGCGGGAUGAAAAACAUCAACUUCGUCGCAGGUAUAGAGCCGGCGGGAUGAAAAACAUCACUUUCCUCGUGGUAAAGAGCCUGAGGUCACUGCUGCCACAAGUCCGCACAGGUAUGCAAACUCAGAUCUUUGAGCUCUGAGGCCAGAACCUCCUUUACCAAAUGGCAUGGCUUAAGAUUUGAGCCCGGAAACUACCUGGACAUGGGAGAGGUUUAUUGGAAUGGGAGAGGGGAACUGGCUCAGGCAAAGGGUCUUAGGCAGUCAGCCUUUGCUCAAUCGAUUCUUUUGGGGCCCUUGCAAGGGACAGUGUGUGUGUCCAGGAUAACAGCUUUGGUGCCCCCAUCAUGUGGCAGAUGGAAGGACUCGGAAGUGGAGCAGGAAAAAUACUUUCCCGUACAGCGGCUGGGAUGUCCCUGGGAGAGAAGGAAUAGAGUCUAGGUGUGUCAAACAUGAAGUCAGCCAAACCAAGGGGAGCCAAACAGCAGCAAGAAUCAGGGGCGUUGGGGUAGAAGGCCAGUAUCUGGGUCCUCGGUUUGCUCUGACUGCUGUGCACAUACAGAGGAUGCUACUUUUGGACCAGACAGUGCUGUAUCCAUGGGGACAUCUAGGCCUAGUGAUGCUCAGGAGAGAUGAGAAACCCCAGGACUUUUAAGAGAUCUGGGUCACUCCUGUUUUCAUUCUCUUCCCUGCUGGCUGCUUUGAGCAGUUUAAUUUAACUGAAAGGCAAAAUCCUUUAAUCACCAGCUCUAAAUCAAGGUAUGACAUUUGGGGUAAUGGAGCGGGGGAGGGCCGUGACCAGGGGGUAAGGUGAGGCUGCAGGGAGACAGGGCCUGGGGAGGGGUCUGAGUUUGAUCUUAGCUGCUGACAGGAGAGCCUGGGCUUCCCAUUAGCCCUUAGUCGCUAACAGUAUUGGCUGCAGACGCUCCAAGGACUAGGAAGGAGAGACUUGGUAAAUUAUGGUUUACCUUUAAAGACAGCAUUUGGAAACACAUGUCCACACAAGGGCACGUAUGUGAAUGUUCAUAACAACAUUAUUCAUAAUACCAAAAACUGGAAACAAUUCAGGUGUCCAUUGUUGGUGAGUGGACAAACCAAUUGUGAUGCACCCACACAAUGGAAUAGUACUCAGCAGUAAAGAGGAAUGAACUCCUGACACAUGCUAUGACAUGGAUGAACUUCAAAAACAUUAUGCUGGGGCUUCUCUGGUGGCACAGUGGUUGAGAGUCCACCUGCCGAUGCAGGGGACACGGGUUCGUGUCCCAGUCUGGGAAGAUCCCACAUGCCGCGGAGCGGCUGGGCCCGUGAGCUGUGGCUGCUGAGCCUGCGCGUCCAGAGCCUGUGCUCCGCAACGGGAGAGGCCACAACAGUGAGAGGCCCGCGUACCGCAAAAAAUAAAUAAAUAAAUAAAUUAUGCUGACCAGAAGAAGCUGGCCACAAAAGACCACAAAUUAUAUGAGUCCAUGUAUGUGAAAUUUCUUGUAAAAACAAAACUUAGAGACAGAAAGCAGACCAGUGGUUGCCUGGAGCUUGGAGUGGACACGGAUUGACCGCAGAUGGCCCAAGAGAACUUUUUGGAGUGGUGGGAAUAUUGUAAAACUGGAUUGUGGAGAUGGUUGCACAAUUCUGUAAAUUUACUAAAGCUUAUCAAACCGUACACCUUAAAAUGGGUGAAUUUUUUGUUAUGUCAAUUAUAAUAUAAUAAAUACUUGAAGUCUUUCACUUUUGACAAGUCCAUCCUGGAGCUCCCCUGUGUGCCACCUCCUCCUCACAAGGGAGAUGAGGGUUCUCCAAGAGUAGCCUCUGGACCACUGGAGCAGCAGCCCCUGGGGGCUUGUUAGCAAUGCAAAUCUCAGAACUGCUGAAUCAGAUACUGUGGUGGUGAGGCCCAGAAAUGGGAACUUGAACUCCCCUCCAGGGGAGAGAGAACCAUGGUGUAAUGGAAGGGGGAGAGGAGAGCAGAAAGGUCAUUGAUGUUGAGCACCCACUGUGUGCAGCCACCGGCCAUGCCCGGAAUGAUACCAUCCUCACCGCAACCGUGUGACAUCAAUAUUAUUGGCCCCAUUUUGCAGACAAAGAAACUAAGGUUCAGAGAGGCUGACAGACUUGCCAGUUAACGAAAGGAGAGAGCUGGGAUCGAACAACCAAGUUUCUGACUUGAAACACACCUGCUGCACUUGUGUGGAUCUUGUGAAUGUGAGCACCUUUCGCAGCACCUGGAAGCCCAGGGCGGAGACAGGAGAAUCUCAAUAAACACAGCCCCUCAGGUUCUAUCUUGGCACUAAGUGUGGGUAUGAAGAAAUAAACAGUCAGCAGAGCACUGAAACUGGCCCAGUAUUUUCCUCAAGGCUGAGGCAGCAGUCUUUGUUUAAAGUUAUAUUGUUUACUCCCAAGGGACGAAGGGGUGGGGGAAUUUGGAACUAGAUGCUUGGACGGAAGCCCAGGAGGUCCUAGCUCAGUUCCUUGGGAGCCUGGAAUGCAAAGGGUUGGGGAUAUAGAGAGAACGGAACUUGGGGAUCCUGGCCAGAAAACAUGAGAGCUGCUGGAGACCCGGGAGGGCUGGUCUGUGGUUUCCAGAUGCACAGAUGACAUCAUGUCUGCCUGGCCUGCAGACACCAGUCCUGCAUGGAGUGGCCCUUCCAAACAGUGGUGCCAGCUUUGUCCUGGAGCUGCUCAGGAAACUGAGGUUGAGCUGAGGCCUCCCUGGUUAAACCCAGCACUACCAGAAGCUUGGCUCAAUGCCAUACUUUAGGCUACCCCACGUGAGGUCUCUUCCUGUGGUCUUUCAGUGCUGGUUGCUGCUGUCCGUUUGCCUUUGCAUGCCCCUCCCACACAAGGUUCACAACUCCUGCCUUUCCUACUCUGAUCCUGUUGACUGUUAGACUGAAUUGAAUAGAGAAACUCUUCUAGCCCAAUUAUUUUUUUGGAUGCGCCGGGUCUUAGUUGCGGUAGGAGGGCUCCUUAGUUGUGACAUGCGAACUCUUAGUUGCAGCAUGCAUGUGGGAUCUAGUUUCUAGACCAGAGAUUGAACCCAGGCUCCCUGCAUUGGCAGUGCAGAAUCUUAACCACUGCGCCACCAGGGAAGUCCCUAGCCCAACUAUUUAAAUGGGCAGAGAGGUUAGGGACUUACUCUAGGUAAAGGCAGGGCCAAUACCAGAAUCCAGAAUCCUGGCCAUGGAGUUAUUUAAUAAUAAUAAUACCUAUUAUUUGUGUAGAGUUUGAUCAUUUACAAAGCACUUUCAUGUGUUACCUAUCUCCCUUGACCCUCUCACUAACCCUGUGCUUGAUUUAUAGAUGAGCAACUUGGGGUUUAUGGAACUUAACUGACUUGCCCAAGAUCACUCCCUGGUGAGUGACAAAGCCAGUGCUCACAGCCAGGUGCUUUGGCCCCAAAUUACUUGUGCAGCGCUUCAUUCCUGAUGAUGUGAGCAACAUCACCGGCACCCAGGGAAGAGCCAGGGGAGUCGCAUGAAGCACAGCCCCCUUAGGUUCUAUCUUGGAACAAAUUGUGUGUCUUUUUCCUGCCCGUUAGCUGAACAGGGCCUUCUCCAGUGACUUUCCAGUCUAAACUGGGCAGGUGAGUCCCAAGCUUGAGCAACUGACCUGGGCAAGAGCUUCUUCUGACUGCUGAGAAUGGGACUGGACUGAGAACACACAGUCCACCCACUCCUGCCCAAGGGACAGAUGGAGUCAGGGCCUAAGACUUCAAGGAAGGCAAAAGCCACAGUCAUAGCUAUAAAGAAGACCCAAGUGAGCCCUUGCAUUGUAGAGAGAAACAGGCACCGACAGAGGUAGAAGGAUUCGGCAUGUCAACGCUGAGGCAUCAAGAAACACUCAUUAUGCUCAAAGUAAGGAUGCUCAUAACACAAUCAUUUUUAUCAAAAAGCAUUUGAGACUUCCCUGGUGGUCCAGUGGUUAGGACUCCAUGCUUCCACUGCCGGGGGCUCGGGUUUGAUCCCUAGUCGGGGAACUAGAUCCCACUUGCCGCAACUGAAAGAUCCUGCAUGCUUCACCCGAAGAUCCCAAGUGCUGCAACUAAGACCUGGUGCAGCCAAAUAAAUAAAUAAAUAAAUAAAUUCUUUUUAAAAAGACAUUAGCGAUUAUACUCCAAUAAAGAUGUUAAAAAAAAAGACAUUAAAAAAAAAGAAUGCAGUUCUGAUGUAUGCUACAACAUGGAUGAACAUUGAAGACAUUAUGCUAACUGAAAUAAGCCAGCCAUAAAAAACAAAUACUGUAUGAUUCUACUUAUAUGUUAUACCUAGAGUAGUCAAAUUCAUAGAUAGAAGAUAGAACAAUGGUUACCAGGGACUGGGGCAGGGAGACUGGGGAGUUAGUGUUCAAUGGGUAGAGAAUUCCAAUAUGGGAUGAUGAAAAAGUUCUGGAGAUUGGGCUUCCCUGGUGGUGCAGUGGUUGAGAGUCCGCCUGCCGAUGCAGGGGACACGGGUUCGUGCCCGGUCCGCGAAGAUCCCACAUGCCGCGGAGCAGCUGGGCCCGUGAGCCAUUGCCGCUGAGCCUGCGCGUCCGGAGCCUGUGCUCCAUAACGGGAGAGGCCACAACAGUGAGGGGCCCGCGUACCGCAAAAAAAAAAAUAAAUAAAAAAAAUAAGAAAAGAAA